CAGUAAGAGAGAAACAGGGUUGACUCCAUCCCUUUUCUCAACCUAGAUGGUCUCUCCUCCUUUCUAAUUAAAGAUUGUGAAAGGGACUAGUUCCUGUAAGUGGCUAACAAGGAAAAGUCUUUCAGAUGAAGGUUGUUGCCAGCCAAGACCCCAAAGGCCUGAUUCACAGCUGUCUGGAAAGCCACUCCCACCGGCUGCCUGAGGCCCAGCCCCACAACUGCACAGGAGGGACUUGUUACAGGAGCCUGCGGGUCUCUGCUGAGUACACUUCAUAUCUCCCCGGAUCUUCUAAUUUCAGCUCAUGACUACAACCGGGCAGCCCCUGGGCAGGGAAGGAAAACUCGAUCUGGUCGGAGGCUCAAAGUGAGGGUCCCCCAGGGGUCAUCUCAGACCAGGAUCUUCUUCUAGUCCAGGACCAAGCUAGUGGCCUUUCUCACAUGUCCAUGAGCCCCUGAGCCACCCCAAGAAAACCCAGGCACACAGGUCCUAAGGAUCCCUUCCCU
ensembl:lncRNA